AGAGUUUGAUCCUGGCUCAGGACGAACGCUGGCGGCGUGCUUAACACAUGCAAGUCGUGCGAGAAAUCAGGUGUCCGCAAGGACACCCGGUGGAAAGCGGCAAACGGGUGAGUAACACGUGGGUAAUAUGCCUAUCAGUGAAGGAUAGCUUCGGGAAACUGGGGGUAAUACUUCAUACAAUUAUUCGUAGUAUCUAUAAAUAAUGAAAGGAUUCGUUCUGCUGAUAGAUUAGCCUGCGGCUCAUUAGCUUGUUGGUAGGGUAAUGGCCUACCAAGGCAAAGAUGAGUAGCCGACCUGAAAGGGUGAUCGGCCACACUGGAACUGAGACACGGUCCAGACUCCUACGGGAGGCAGCAGUGGGGAAUCUUGCGCAAUGGGCGGAAGCCUGACGCAGCAACGCCGCGUGGAGGACGAAAUCCUUAGGGAUUUAAACUCCUUUUUUGAGGGAAGAAAUGCCUGUUUAUCAGGAGCUGACGGUACCUCAAGAAUAAGCACCGGCUAACUCCGUGCCAGCAGCCGCGGUAAUACGGAGGGGCAAGCGUUGUCCGGAAUUACUAGGCGUAAAGCGUACGUAGGCGUUUUUGUAAGUCGGUUGUUAAAUACUUUCGCUCAACGGGAGGAGGUCAACCGAAACUGCGGAAAUUGAGAAUAGUAGAGGAGAGCGGAAUUCCUGGAAGAGCGGUGAAAUGCGUAGAUUUCAGGAAGAACGCCAAUGGUGAAGACAGCUCUCUGGGCUAUUUCUGACGCUCAAGUACGAAAGCCAGGGGAGCAAACGGGAUUAGAUACCCCGGUAGUCCUGGCCGUAAACGAUGGACACUAGGUGUCGGGUAACAACUCGGUACCGUAGCUAACGCGUUAAGUGUCCCGCCUGGGGAGUACGGCCGCAAGGCUGAAACUCAAAGGAAUUGACGGGGGCCCGCACAAGCGGUGGAGCACGUGGUUUAAUUCGAUCCUAACCGAAGAACCUUACCUGGACUUGACAUGCUGAUCUGUACUUUGACUGAAAGGUCGAGGGACCCUUUUAACAGAGGGAAGUCAGCACAGGUGCUGCAUGGCUGUCGUCAGCUCGUGUCGUGAGAUGUUGGGUUAAGUCCCGCAACGAGCGCAACCCCUAUCCUUAGUUACCAGCGGGUAAUGCCGGGGACUCUAGGGAAACUGCCCAGAACAACUGGGAGGAAGGUGGGGACGACGUCAAGUCAUCAUGGCCCUUAUGUCCAGGGCUACACACGUGCUACAAUGGCCGGUACAAAAGGCAGCUAAUCCGCAAGGACAAGCAAAUCCCAAAAACCGGUCCCAGUUCGGAUUGCAGGCUGAAACUCGCCUGCAUGAAGUUGGAAUCGCUAGUAAUCGUGGGUCAGCUAAACCACGGUGAAUACGUUCCCGGGCCUUGUACACACCGCCCGUCACACCACGAAAGUUAGCUGUACCAGAAGUCGUUGAGCUAAUCCGCAA
rnacentral:rRNA from 1 species